GCCUGGCUGGCUCGGCCGGUGGAGCGUGUGGCUCCUGAUCUCAGAGUUGUGAGUUCAAGCCUCACAUUGGGCG
rnacentral:tRNA from 1 species